rnacentral:lncRNA from 1 species
AAUUAAAACAUUUUCAGUAAGUUUCACUGACAUGUACCAUUCAAAAUUAUACUUUGCAUUCCCUAUUAUAAGAUUAUCAACAAUCACACCAUUUACAGCAUCAAAUAGAUGCACCAUAGUAGAGAAGAGCUAGCAAAAUUACAUUAAAAAAUGAUUUUUCACUCUACACAUUUUCUCUGGAAUCUGCCAUUGUUAUAUUCUUCUGCUUUGGUUUGCUGUCAGUAAGCCACUUCAGUCCCAUCUAUUUACCUCCAAAAUAUCUUCAAUCCCAUGCGCAACACAUAAUUGAUAUAAAGUCAUUUACAAUAUGUGACCCCUCUCCCAAACAUAUCUACAAAUUCAUGCCAAAAGAGGACACCCAAAACCGACCACUUCAAUUCACCCACAACAUUUCAUCAGCACCUCAUCAACAAAUUUGAUAACUUUUGUAACUUCCCCUAGAAGGAAGAACUCCUCAUGGAGCCUAAUAACCUGAAAAGAUCAAUAGAACAUAAUAUCAUUACUUUAACAUCACACAUUCAAGAUAGGAUGAUGGCCAAUGUAUAGAGAAAUCUGAAUUCAUGAUUAUCUAGAGAAAACCUCAACAUUUCAGAAACAUAAAUCCAUACUAAUCCCCCGUGCCCGUAUCAUACUUCUCAUCAAC